rnacentral:lncRNA from 1 species
UGAGAAACUGCGCAGCAAGCUGCAACGUGCACCCAGCAAGGACACACUCUUGGAGGCUGAGCCUAUCCAUGUCUGCACAGCACCCAGUGUGAGCUCCCUGCCGAGCAGAAAGCUGCUGUGCCCUGCAGGAUCGGGACACGGGUUGUGGUCACACAGGAUUGCAGUGAGCCCAACUGCCCCUCGUCCCUGCAUGCACAAACCCAGGACUAAUAAACCCUGACUGC